rnacentral:rRNA from 1 species
UGGGGAAUAUUGCACAAUGGGGGGAACCCUGAUGCAGCGACGCCGCGUGAGUGAAGAAGUCAUUCGUGACGUAAAGCUCUGUCAGCAGGGAAGAAAAUGACGGUACCUGACCAAGAAGCCCCGGCUAACUACGUGCCAGCAGCCGCGGUAAUACGUAGGGGGCAAGCGUUAUCCGGAUUUACUGGGUGUAAAGGGAGCGUAGACGGCAGCGCAAGUCUGGAGUGAAAUGCCGGGGCCCAACCCCGGAACUGCUCUGGAAACUGCGGUGCUGGAGUGCAGGAGAGGUAAGCGGAAUUCCUGGUGUAGCGGUGAAAUGCGUAGAUAUCAGGAGGAACACCGGUGGCGAAGGCGGCUUACUGGACUGUAACUGACGUUGAGGCUCGAAAGCGUGGGGAGCAAACAGG